rnacentral:rRNA from 1 species
GCAAGUCGAGGGUGAAAUUUGGUGCUUGCACUAAAUGGAAACCGGCGAACGGGUGCGUAACACGUAUGCAAUCUACCUAUAACUAAGGGAUAGCCCAGAGAAAUUUGGAUUAAUACCUUAUAACAUUAUUCAUUCGCAUGUUUGAAUAAUUAAAGCUCCGGCGGUUAUAGAUGAGCAUGCGGCCCAUUAGCUUGUUGGUGAGGUAACGGCUCACCAAGGCUACGAUGGGUAGGGGGUCUGAGAGGAUGAUC